CCAACCUUUUUCAGAAGAAAGCCUUUUCAUUGAAGGAGACUGCAAUAAGUACACCUCCAACACGCUUUGACCUUGCUCAUAACAGAUCUUGACUUUUACCUACUCUUGCUACAUUCAAUGGUUACGCGUGUAAUGAAGCAGAUGGAGGGCUUAAGGGUGUAAUUUAUGUAAUGUGGUGAUGAUGUUGGUGUUUCUUUUCAAGUUGUAAAUUUCAAUUAAUGAGCAUGGAAGGGUGUAAUGCGCGUGGUAAUGGGUGUAAUGCUGGCUGUGAAGGGCGCUGAGAUUUAUACGAACUCAUCUCUGCACUCAACCAUUUUAAAUGCUUUAUAUGCUUUAAUAAUUAUGAAUAUUACAGCUUGGAAGCUCAGGGCUUUGAUACGACCUGGUUCGUUACAACGCAGAUUAAAAAUUAAAAAAUACUUAUUUCUCGUAUCCCUACAAAUGAUAAGCAUCUCUCCUUAUAUUGGGGAGAAUGCCUUUAAACCAUCAAAAAGCUAGACUUUAUAGAAAUACUGUAAAUUCAAGCAGUGGAAUUCAAACAGAUAAGAUAGGAUCAACUCCUAGAUUCUAUAUCUAGGAGCUCUUUUCUUUUGAACUCUCUAGGUAUAGAACAUUGAAAAUAUGGUGAGUUUGAACACGAGGAGUUGAAUAGUGCACUUUGUGGAGACUGUGAGUUAUCGCUUGGAAAUUCCAUUAUUGGUAAUAAUAAUUAUAGUUGUAAUACACCGAUAGCUGUUAGUCAUAGGGUGGUGAUAUAGUGGUAAUAUAUAACUGCAUGAGUCGUUUUAAUGCAAGAUGCAAAACCUUAUUUGAACAGAUUGAAUUUUCUAAGAUGUACAGAAUCUGUCUCUGUUCCAAAUAAUAUGGAAGCAUACACCAGAUGACUUCGGACAAGUGAAAAUAGAGAGUAUUUAUUGUGCAUGGAUUUCUGAAGUCUCUCCUUAUCCAUCUAAUUACUCAAAGUUAUCUUCUUGCCAUUGCUACACUAUUAGAAACAUGCACAGUCAAUAGAAGUUUCAAAAACAAGUGUAGUAAAUAAUACAUGAGUGGUUUUAUCAUGAUCAGUUUCUAUCAGUAACUGAUGUUCCCUAGAAACGUACUUCCCCAGAGAAGUAAACAAAUUUUGUUGUGAAGCAUGAAGAAAGUAACCUUAUACAAAAUUCUACUUAGGCCAGCAACACCACCUAGCAACGAGGAGUCUAUUCCACUUUUCCAGUCAGAGCGUAAUCUGAGUAUAUUGAAGGUAGCAGAGACUCAAACUGAAACUCAGAAAGACUCUUGGCAUUGCUUGAGAAAUUUUUGCCGAUGCUGUCUUAUCAUUGCUGUGAUGUUGUUCAGCUCGCUUCUUUCUAAUAUAUUACUAUAUUGGCUCUUUUUGGAAUCCGACCGAGAAAAAAAUGCAUCGAAGACUCAUAAUAAUAUCAUGUUUCUCAAUUCAGAAUAGAUGAACAUAGCAAUGAUCUUUCCCUCCUCCAGAAAAUAUAAUCCCAAAAACAUUUGGAACUUUCAAAAUUUCCGUAUGUGAUACAUUAUUCCGCAAAGCGAUAGUAUGAAAUAAUACAUCUUUCAUCUAUGAAAUGAUAAGACUGAAGAUUGAAGUGAGCACGGAUAUUUUUCAAGGGUCAUUUGUUCCAAAAUAUACCUUAACAAUAAUGCACAAAAGCUGAAGGCUUUUCAAGUAACUGAAUCUAUUCUUAUUAUUUUUCUCUAGACAAACUCCUACUAAUAAAUUCUUUGACUACUGAUAUUCAACACUAUUUAUUGUUAUACUCAUAAGUAAUGUGAGUAAUAGAACUAGAUUAACAUUCCACUA